ensembl:lncRNA
GGGCACACUUUGAGGCAGGAGGUUCAGGCCAGUGAGAGCUAGCUGUCUCAUGUCUCGAGGACGACGGAGGGUUGACCAGGCCUGAGUUCAGGUUUUAUGUUAAAGCGAACUUGAUCACCUUUGUCAUCAGCUGCACACUGAGGAAGUCAUCCGGGGGAUUCGAGACCAGGCAUGGCCUUCUCCCUGCAGACUUGUCCUGGGCCUGCAAGUCCUUCCUUCCUGACUGGUGGUGCUAAUGGUAAAAAACCUGCCUGCCAGUGCAGAGGACAUGAGACCCGGCUUUGAUCCCUGGGUCAGGAAGAUUCCCCUGGAGGGGAAAAUGGCAACCCACCCCAGUAUUCAUGCCUGGAGAAUCCCAUGGACAGAGGAGCCUGGCGGUUAUGGUCCAUGGGGUCACAAAGAGUCAGACACGACUGAAGAGACGACACAUGCAUAUUUGGUUUACAAUGUUAUUUCUGCUGCACAGCAAAGCGAUUCAGUUGUAUGUGUAUAUAUAUAUAUAUAUAUAUAUGUAUAUAUA